GGAUCAUUACUAACAUUUUUAAAACCAGUAAAUCCAGUGGAGGAUACUGUACCCCCUCCCAGCACUGACGAUGAAAACUGUACAGUUCUAUCAACAUCCACCUCCAGCAGUACAUCAGCUCCCCAACCUCCUGCCUUUCCAGUGCAGGAAGAUGCAACAGAGAUGGACGAUGAAGGUUCUAUUAAGACCUGAAGGUGAAAAGGAAGAUGUGUCGUGCCCAAAAGAUGUGAUCUCAGAAGACCCUGCUCAAUGGCCAAGCAUCCUAAGCCAUACCGAACUGUGCCAAAUGGUAACAAGGGGACCCAUACAGGUGAAAGAUAUAGUUUUCCCCCAGAAUACAGACAAAAACCCACGUAGAUUCAAGAAGGAAUAUUACAAUAUACCAUGAAAAAUGGAGACAAAAUACCGUGAAGAUGGCUUCUUUACUCAGUCAGCACAGACUCAGUCUUCUGUUUUGCUUGCAAGCUUUUUGGAAAACAGGACAAUUCACUUACCAAAGGGGGCUUUAGAAACUGGAAAAACAUAGCUGGUCAUUUAAAGGAGCAUUCAAAGACACACCAUACCAGUAUGAAUAGCUGGCAGGAACUCAAGACUAUUUUCAGUAUUUUUUCAUCUGUAUUGUGCCAAUUUUAUUUUUCUCUUGAUGUGGCCUUACCAGUUGUUGACUUAUUGACUGCAUUUUGAUGCAUCUGAGAAUUUUGCACUAGCCAAGCCUAAUUUUUAAUUAUUUAUUUAAUUUAGUAUUAUUUAUCUCCACUGUAUGUG